rnacentral:rRNA from 1 species
GACGAACCGUGCAAACGUUGUUCGGAAUCACUGGGCUUAAAGGGCGCGUAGGCGGGCCAGCCAGUCUGUGGUGAAAGCCUCCAGCUUAACUGGAGAAGUGCCGUGGAUACUGCUGGCCUCGAGGAGGAUAGGGGCAUCUGGAACGGUCGGUGGAGCGGUGAAAUGCGUUGAUAUCAACUGGAACUCCGGUGGCGAAGGCGGCACGCUGGACCUUUUCUGACGCUGAGGCGCGAAAGCCAGGGGAGCAAAGCGGG